rnacentral:tRNA from 3 species
GCCGGCAUAGCUCAGUUGGUAGAGCAGCUGAUUUGUAAUCAGCCGGUCGUCGGUUCGAGUCCGACUGCCGGCUCCA